ensembl:snRNA U12 U12 minor spliceosomal RNA
AUGCCUUAAACUUAUGAGUAAGGAAAAUAAUGAUUCGGGGUGGUGCCAAAUCCUUACUGCUAAUGUGAGGUGAAUUUUUGAGCGGGUAAAUGUUGCCCCUAAGGUGACCUGCUUACUUUGCAGGAUGCCUUGGAGUUGUGAUUUGGAAAUCCC